AAAUUCUAUAAAUUUCCCUUUCCUUUCCCUUCCUCUCCACACUUCUAUUCAUUCCUUUUUUCAAGACUUAGAGAGAGAAAGAGAAAAAAAAGAGAGAGACAGUAAAAUAGUGAUAGAAGAAAAGAAAGAAAGAAAAACAGUGAAGAAGAAAACAUCAAGGUUUUAGUAAGGAAUCUAGUAUUACUUUCGAUGUCUUAAGUAGUAUUGUUAGAUAAACAAAUUUAAUAUGAUUAUUAUUUU
rnacentral:lncRNA from 1 species